UACGAGAGGCCCAAGCGUUAUUCGGAAUUACUGGGCUUAAAGAGUUCGUAGGCGGCAUGACAAGUCGGGUGUGAAAGCCCUCGGCUCAACCGAGGAAUUGCGCUCUAAACUGUCGUGCUUGAGGAACCUAGAGGUGAGCAGAACAGAUGGUGGAGCGGUGAAAUGCGUUGAUAUCAUCUGGAAUACCGGAGGCGAAGGCGGCUCACUGGGAGUUUUCUGACGCUGAGGAACGAAAGCCAGGGUAGCGAACGGG
rnacentral:rRNA from 1 species